AGUGAACGCUGGCGGUAGGCCUAACACAUGCAAGUCGAACGGCAGCACAGUAAGAGCUUGCUCUUACGGGUGGCGAGUGGCGGACGGGUGAGGAAUACAUCGGAAUCUACUUUUUCGUGGGGGAUAACGUAGGGAAACUUACGCUAAUACCGCAUACGACCUACGGGUGAAAGCAGGAGAUCUUCGGACCUUGCGCGAUUGAAUGAGCCGAUGUCGGAUUAGCUAGUUGGCGGGGUAAAGGCCCACCAAGGCGACGAUACGUAGCUGGUCUGAGAGGAUGAUCAGCCACACUGGAACUGAGACACGGUCCAGACUCCUACGGGAGGCAGCAGUGGGGAAUAUUGGACAAUGGGCGAAAGCCUGAUCCAGCCAUACCGCGUGGGUGAAGAAGGCCUUCGGGUUGUAAAGCCCUUUUGUUGGGAAAGAAAAGCAGCAGGUUAAUACCCCGCUGUUCUGACGGUACCCAAAGAAUAAGCACCGGCUAACUUCGUG
rnacentral:rRNA from 1 species